GGAAUAUGGAGUGAGUGGAGUGAUGAACAAUGCUGGAAAGGUGACACAUGGAAGGAAACCUUAAUAUUUUUCAUGAUACCAUUGGCUUUUGUCUCAUUACUUGUUUUGUUAAUAACUUGCCUGAUUUUGUAUAAGCAAAAAAAUUUGCUGAAAACGAUUUUUCAUACCAAAAAAGAAGCUUCUUCUAAUCAGGUGAUACAGUGCUGACUCAGUAAAUUCCAGGCUUAUGGCCAAAUGUUAAACAAGAGUCUUAUCAAACUGAAUUUUUUCCCCAAAUGUUGAAUAAAUCUUAUCUUGAAAGCCUUGUUGUAUUUAAAUAGGCAUUAGAUUAUUAAAAUCCUCAACUAGCAGCA
rnacentral:lncRNA from 1 species